UACGUAGGAGGCAAGCGUUGUCCGGAAUCAUUGGGCGUAAAGAGCGUGUAGGCGGCUUGGUAAGUCCGCUGUGAAAGUCCAGGGCUCAACCCUGGAAUGCCGGUGGAAACUGUCAAGCUUGAGUCCGGAAGAGGCGAGUGGAAUUCCUGGUGUAGCGGUGAAAUGCGCAGAUAUCAGGAGGAACACCAAUGGCGAAGGCAGCUCGCUGGGACGGUACUGACGCUGAGACGCGAAAGCGUGGGGAGCAAACAGG
rnacentral:rRNA from 1 species